rnacentral:rRNA from 1 species
GGCUCAGGAUGAACGCUGGCGGCGUGCCUAAUACAUGCAAGUCGAGCGAACAGAUAAGGAGCUUGCUCCUUUGACGUUAGCGGCGGACGGGUGAGUAACACGUGGGUAACCUACCUAUAAGACUGGAAUAACUCCGGGAAACCGGGGCUAAUGCCGGAUAACAUUUAGAACCGCAUGGUUCUAAAGUGAAAGAUGGUUUUGCUAUCACUUAUAGAUGGACCCGCGCCGUAUUAGCUAGUUGGUAAGGUAAUGGCUUACCAAGGCAACGAUACGUAGCCGACCUGAGAGGGUGAUCGGCCACACUGGAACUGAGACACGGUCCAGACUCCUACGGGAGGCAGCAGUAGGGAAUCUUCCGCAAUGGGCGAAAGCCUGACGGAGCAACGCCGCGUGAGUGAUGAAGGGUUUCGGCUCGUAAAACUCUGUUAUUAGGGAAGAACAAACGUGUAAGUAACUGUGCACGUCUUGACGGUACCUAAUCAGAAAGCCACGGCUAACUACGUGCCAGCAGCCGCGGUAAUACGUAGGUGGCAAGCGUUAUCCGGAAUUAUUGGGCGUAAAGCGCGCGUAGGCGGUUUCUUAAGUCUGAUGUGAAAGCCCACGGCUCAACCGUGGAGGGUCAUUGGAAACUGGGAGACUUGAGUGCAGAAGAGGAAAGUGGAAUUCCAUGUGUAGCGGUGAAAUGCGCAGAGAUAUGGAGGAACACCAGUGGCGAAGGCGACUUUCUGGUCUGUAACUGACGC